UCCCGCCUAGCUCAAUUGGCAGAGCAGCCGGCUGUUAACCGGCAGGUUAUUGGUUCGAGUCCAAUGGCGGGAG
rnacentral:tRNA from 2 species